AUGAACGCUAGCGGCAGGCUUAAUACAUGCAAGUUGAGGGGCAGCAUGAUAUACGCGAGUAUAUUGAUGGCGACCGGCGGACGGGUGAGUAAUAGGUAGGAGACCUACCUCAUACAGGGGGAUAGCAUAGAGAAAUCUGUGGUAAUACCCCAUGAGGUUAUAUGAAUAGAGGCAUAUAGUCAAAGCAUAAGCGAUUAUGCGGUAUGAGAGGGGCCUACUGACCAUUAGCUAGUUGGUGAGGUAAGGGCUCACCAAGGCGAAGAUGGUUAGGGGUUUUGAGAGAGAGACCCCCCACAUUGGAACUGAGAGACGGUCCAGACUCCUACGGGAGGCAGCAGUAGGGAAUAUUGGGCAAUGGGCGAAAGCCUGACCCAGCCAUGCCGCGUGAAGGAAGACGGCCUUAUGGGUUGUAAACUUCUUUACUACGCGAAUAGAGGUUAGUACGAGAUACUAAUAGGAAGGUAGUGUAGUAAAAAGCACCGGCUAACUCCGUG
rnacentral:rRNA from 1 species